GGCCCAAUAGCACAGUUGGUUAGUGCGCCUGCUUCAAAUAAACUGCACUUGUAAGCAGGAGGACCCUCGUUCAAUUCGGGGUUGGGCCA